rnacentral:rRNA from 1 species
AUUGAACGCUGGCGGCAGGCCUAACACAUGCAAGUCGAGCGGAUGAAGGGAGCUUGCUCCUGGAUUCAGCGGCGGACGGGUGAGUAAUGCCUAGGAAUCUGCCUGGUAGUGCGGGAUAACGUCCGGAAACGGGCGCUAAUACCGCAUACGUCCUGAGGUAGAAAGUGGGGGAUCUUCGGACCUCACGCUAUCAGAUGAGCCUAGGUCGGAUUAGCUAGUUGGUGGGGUAAAGGCCUACCAAGGCGACGAUCCGUAACUGGUCUGAGAGGAUGAUCAGUCACACUGGAACUGAGACACGGUCCAGACUCCUACGGGAGGCAGCAGUGGGGAAUAUUGGACAAUGGGCGAAAGCCUGAUCCAGCCAUGCCGCGUGUGUGAAGAAGGUCUUCGGAUUGUAAAGCACUUUAAGUUGGGAGGAAGGGCAGUAAGUUAAUACCUUGCUGUUUUGACGUUACCAACAGAAUAAGCACCGGCUAACUUCGUG